CAGCAGCCGCGGGAAAACGGAGGGUGCAAGCGUUAAUCGGAAUUACUGGGCGUAAAGCGCACGCAGGCGGUCUGACAAGUCAGAUGUGAAAUCCCCGGGCUUAACCUGGGAACUGCAUUUGAAACUGUCAGGCUGGAGUCUUGUAGAGGGGGGUGGAAUUCCAGGUGUAGCGGUGAAAUGCGUAGAGAUCUGGAGGAAUACCGGUGGCGAAGGCGGCCCCCUGGACAAAGACUGACGCUCAGGUGCGAAAGCGUGGGGAGCAAACAGGAUUAGAUACCCGUGUAGUCCCUGUCUCUUAUAC
rnacentral:rRNA from 1 species